rnacentral:rRNA from 1 species
UACGUAGGGUGCGAGCGUUAAUCGGAAUUACUGGGCGUAAAGCGUGCGCAGGCGGUUUUGUAAGCCAGAUGUGAAAUCCCCGAGCUUAACUUGGGAACUGCAUUUGGGACUGCAAGGCUAGAGUACGGCAGAGGGGGGUAGAAUUCCUGGUGUAGCAGUGAAAUGCGUAGAUAUCAGGAGGAACACCGAUAGCGAAGGCGCCGCUCUGGGCCGUAACUGACGCUGAGGAGCGAAAGCAUGGGUAGCAAACAGG